rnacentral:rRNA from 1 species
ACUUAAAUUGAAGAGUUUGAUCAUGGCUCAGAUUGAACGCUGGCGGCAGGCCUAACACAUGCAAGUCGAGCGGUAGCACAGAGAGCUUGCUCUCGGGUGACGAGCGGCGGACGGGUGAGUAAUGUCUGGGAAACUGCCUGAUGGAGGGGGAUAACUACUGGAAACGGUAGCUAAUACCGCAUAACGUCGCAAGACCAAAGUGGGGGACCUUCGGGCCUCAUGCCAUCAGAUGUGC